CCUACGGGAGGCAGCAGUGAGGAAUAUUGGUCAAUGGACGAGAGUCUGAACCAGCCAAGUAGCGUGAAGGAUGACUGCCCUAUGGGUUGUAAACUUUUUUUAUAUGGGAAUAAAAUGUUCCACGUGUGGGAUUUUGUAUGUACCAUAUGAAUAAGGAUCGGCUAACUCCGUGCCAGCAGCCGCGGUAAUACGGAGGAUCCGAGCUUUAUCCGGAUUUAUUGGGGUUAAAGGGAGCGUAGGUGGAUUGUUAAGUCAGUUGUGAAAGUUUGCGGCUCAACCGUAAAAUUGCAGUUGAAACUGGCAGUCGUGAGUACAGUAGAGGUGGGCGGAAUUCGUGGUGUAGCGGUGAAAUGCUUAGAUAUCACGAAGAACUCCGAUUGCGAAGGCAGCUCACUGGACUGCAACUGACACUGAGGCUCGAAAGUGUGGGUAUCAAACAGGAUUAGAUACCCUUGUAGUC
rnacentral:rRNA from 1 species